GGGGGUCUGUUUCUGUCUUUGGUUAUCUAGCUGUAUGAGUUUUAAAUGCCUGUCAUAAAGCUAGAUAACCGAAAGUAGAAAU
rnacentral:miRNA from 1 species